UUAUCGCAGACUGCGUUAGGGAUGAAAGCGGUAUCCUUUUGUGAUUCCUGUUAUUUUUAUGCCAGACAAAAAAUGGCUAUCACAAAAGAUUUAGCGGACAGCCCGACCCGGA
rnacentral:sRNA from 1 species